AACUGAGGAAACUGAAGAACCAAGCUUG
rnacentral:piRNA from 2 species